AGUUUGGAAUUCUGGAAGGAACAGGAAUGUUUCGAAUCUGGCGGAUCUGGCUUCGAAUUCCAGCUGUUACCCAUGCUGGUGACCAUGUUAGUGACUUCUGAAGAACAACUGGCAUGAGCAACUGGGCCUUCAGAACCAGGAUUCUUGGGAGUGGAAAAAUGCCUCUUCUAUCUUUAUCUCCGAAGUCAAAAUUCUGUAGUUGAGAAUGUGAAU